AGUAUUUUAUUGUCACUUGAAGUUUUGUGAAUAUUUUAUUAAAUUGCAGUUAAUAAUUUUUAUAAUAAUCUACAAUUAUCGCUGAGUCUGGGUGUAUCUAAUAAGUACUUAAAUGUAAAAAGUUAUUUUUUCACUGUGUAUGUUCUUUGAUGGAUGUUUAAUAAUCUGUUCAAGAAAAAUUGUAUAAAUUACAACGAAGCAAAUGUAAUAAUUUGUUCACCUGAAACUAUUGUAACAACUUUUAGAUCAAUUGUCAAUAAAUCUGCCUUUAAUCAGAAACUUGUUGCAAUUGCAGUUGAUGAAAACCAUUGUGCAAAAAAGUGGAGAUGUUCAAGUACACAAUUAGUGGCAUUUCGGUUUCGUUAUAAUAGACUCUUGAAUUGCGAUCACUUGUUCCUAAAAGAAUUCCAGUAUCCGCAUUGACAGCAACUGCAACUAAAAGUACUGCUGACGUUUUUAUUAUUAAUCUUUGUAUGCAUAGUUUGGUUAUUAUAUCAUCUACACCAGAACGAAGAAAUAUCAAAUACAGCCUAAUACAUAUUGACUCAAGAGAUCCAGAGAAAUUUUUCUACCCAGUUGUUCAACAUAAUCUUUUGAAUACUUAUUCACCUAAGAGAACUUAAGUCUUUUCUACAACUAUGACUAAUAUAAGAUCAAUUUAUUUUUACUUUCACAAAGAACGAGCAGAAAAAUAUAAAA